GGGCCGGUAGCUCAGUUGGUAGAGCACAUCCAUGGCAUGGAUGGGGUCCGGGGUUCGAAUCCCCGUCGGUCCA
rnacentral:tRNA from 1 species